UGAAGGAAUGUUCAGUUGCAUCUCCCCAGAA
rnacentral:piRNA from 1 species